rnacentral:rRNA from 1 species
UACAGAGGGUGCAAGCGUUAAUCGGAAUUACUGGGCGUAAAGCGUGCGUAGACGGUAGCGUAAGUCGGGUGUGAAAGCCCCGGGCUCAACCUGGGAAUUGCAUUCGAGACUGCUCUGCUAGGGUGCGGAAGAGGGGAGCGGAAUUUCCGGUGUAGCGGUGAAAUUCGUAGAUAUUCGGAAGAACACCAGUGGCGAAGGCGGCUCACUGGACUGGUAUUGACGCUGAGGUGCGAAAGCGUGGGGAGCAAACAGG